rnacentral:rRNA from 1 species
AAAUUUCAUUGAAAAUGAGGCAAUGAUCAAAACUCUGAUGAAAUUCUAGUCAAAUUUUAUUGGAAACACACCAAGACUCUAAACCCUAAUGAAGUUUUUAUCUAAUUUGAUUGGAAACACGUCAAAGAACAAAACCUUGAUAAAAUUUUAGUUUAAUUCGAUUGGAAACGCGCCAACGAUCAAAUUCCUGAUGAGAUUUUAGUCGAACUAGACUGGAAUCACUCCAAUGAUCAGAACCUUAUGAAAUUUUAGUCAAAUUUGAUUAGAAACGUACCAAUGAAAAGAUGAACAACUCUGAAAGCAUUUGCCAAGAAUGUUUUCAUUAAUCAAUAAUGAAAGUUAGGGGCUCGAAGACGAUCAGAUAUGGUCCUAGUCUCAACCAUAAACGAUGCUGACCAGGGAUCGACGAAUGUUGCUUAUAGGACUUCGUCGGUACCUUAUGAGAAAUCAAAGUUUUUGGGUU